rnacentral:rRNA from 1 species
UACGUAGGGCGCAAGCGUUGUCCGGAAUUAUUGGGCGUAAAGAGCUCGUAGGCGGCCAGUUGCGUCUGCUGUGAAAUCCCGGGGCUCAACCCCGGGCGUGCAGUGGAUACGGGCUGGCUAGAGGCAGGCAGGGGAGAACGGAAUUCCCGGUGUAGCGGUGAAAUGCGCAGAUAUCGGGAGGAACACCGGUGGCGAAGGCGGUUCUCUGGGACGGUACUGACGCUGAGACGCGAAAGCGUGGGGAGCGAACAGG